GUGCCAGCAGCCGCGGUAAUACCGGCAGCCCGAGCGAUGGCCGAUAUUAUUGGGCCUAAAGCGUCCGUAGCUGGCCGAACAAGUCCGUCGGGAAAUCCACUCGCCCAACGAGUGGGCGUCCGACGGAAACUGCACAGCUUGGGACCGGAAGGCUCGAAGGGUACGUUCGGGAUCGGAGUGAAAUCCCAUAAUCCCGCACGGACCACCGAUGGCGAAAGCACUUCGAGAAAACGGAUCCGACAGUGAGGGACGAAAGCCAGGGUCUCCAACCGGAUUAGAUACCCUGGUAGUCC
rnacentral:rRNA from 1 species